AUUCUCGUGGUGUAGUUGGCAACGCGCCUGUCUAGUGAGCAGGAGUCGCGAGUUCGAGUUUCACCGAGAGGA
rfam:Aedes albopictus isolate Foshan contig29661, whole genome shotgun sequence.